CCUACGGGAGGCAGCAGUUAGGAAUCUUCCGCAAUGGGCGAAAGCCUGACGGAGCGACACUGCGUGAGGGAAGGAGUCCUUCGGGAUGUAAACCUCUGUCGAGAGGGGAAGAAACAGACGGUACCCUCAAAGGAAGCCCCGGCUAACUACGUGC
rnacentral:rRNA from 1 species